rnacentral:lncRNA from 1 species
AAGAACUGCUGACGGCUGAGAGCCCAGGCAAGUCUGGGAAAGGAAGGUGAGCUGACAGGGUCUCUCUCUGUGAGCCAGGCUGGAGUGCAGUGGCAUGAUCACAGCUCACUACAGCCCCAACUGCUGGGUUCAAGCAAACCUCCUGCCUCAGCCUCCCAAAAGAGGAAUCAAUUCUGGACCGGAGGGUGUGUCCCUGCCUUUGCCCUCCCCGCCUCCCCCCACAUCCUUCUCUGGCAAGGGGAAUGAGGAUGAGAAUGACCUCCAUCCGCAGGACGAGGUAUUAAAUAUUCAGCUCAUGCCAGAGUGAGGAUCUCCUUUUCACCUUCUGUCUGAAUUGUGCCUUGAAUCUGUUGCGCAAUGGGUGGGAACUGGGUGAGACACUUUUUUUUUUUUUUUUAACAACCGCAGCCCUGGCAACUCCACACCGCCUGACUCCAGCCGGUUUCCAUAGCCUGAAUCCUUCCUCUCAUUUGCAAACAACUUUCUUAGUAAAUGAUUACAAAGCAGAAUGCAAUCCCUUCUAUAAGAGAUAUGACACAGAACAAAUUGUAGCCACGUUUUCCUCA